rnacentral:lncRNA from 1 species
GUGUGUGUGUGGGGGUGUGUGUGUGGGGGGAGGCUCGCGGCUUUGGGGCUGGGCGCUGGGGAGGGCGUAGGGGUUCCGCCUUCUUCGGGUGAGGCUGCUCGGGGACAGCCCGGGUUCUGGGUGUGGUGAAGGGCGGCGGUUUGGGGAGGUGGCCCGGCACUUGCGAGAGCGCGAGGGGUGGGGACUGUGGUCUCCGAGUUAAUCAUGAGGUUUCCGAGAGGUUCGGUUCAACCUGCCUUCUCCCAGGACUUUUGCCUUGUCCCCGAAUCGCCACAUUUAGACAGACGAGCUCCACCCCCAUCCCGGAGAUCCCCGAUCUCUGACCCGCCAGUAGGGGAUUUGGAACCGUAUGCGGCGAGUGCAUUGGUGUCCACGCAGGUCCACGGCCUCGAUUUUCCUCUACAACCAGACUGUUGUCCUGAGUGUCCUCAGAAAAGUCCAGCCCAUUCUGACUUCUGUGUCCUUGCAUAGUUCCAGGGAGCUGAAUUGGAUCCAAACAAACAGGUCUAAGAGGCCUCAGGGAGUUCCGUACAGCCUGGACUGCAAUGAAACAACCAGCUACCCUAGGACGUGGCAGCACCCCAACCUUCUCGGGUCCCCCAAAGAUGUUCAAGGCCCCCCACGUCAGCAGGAAGCAGUCUUGAGAAUUCGACGCCCUUAUUCCUUAACCUGCCACGUUAACACCCCACCAUUUUAAAAUAAUAAGUAGAGGUGGGAAUGAAAGGUUCAGGCUUUGACGCUGAUCGGCUCUACCUCUUUAAGAGACAGACCCUGUUCCCUGACAACAGUCAGGGCAUACACAAAAAAAUGUGCUACAUCAUCACCACAUCACCCACCACGCAUGAGGACUCUGGG